rnacentral:rRNA from 1 species
GUGCCAGCCGCCGCGGUAAUACGUAGGGUGCGAGCGUUAAUCGGAAUUACUGGGCGUAAAGCGUGCGCAGGCGGUUUCGUAAGUCAGGCGUGAAAUCCCCGGGCUCAACCUGGGAACUGCGUUUGAAACUACCAGGCUAGAGUAUGGCAGAGGGGGGUGGAAUUCCACGUGUAGCAGUGAAAUGCGUAGAGAUGUGGAGGAACACCAAUGGCGAAGGCAGCCCCCUGGGCCAAUACUGACGCUCAUGCACGAAAGCGUGGGGAGCAAAAAGGAUUAGAUACCCCGGUAGUCCACGCCCUAA